AAACCCACACAAAUAUAUAAAACCUUUUUAUUGGCCAUUCAAGUGGAGAGAAGGAAAUGUCCUAACAUGCAAACAAACUGGGUGUUUAUCUUGUAUCCUGUCAGAGGAAACAACA